AGAGUUUGAUCAUGGCUCAGAAUGAACGCUGGCGGUGCGCCUAACACAUGCAAGUCGAGCGAGAAAGGGACUUCGGUCCUGAGUAGAGCGGCAGACGGGUGAGUAACACGUAGGGAUCUACCUUUUAGUGAAGGAUACCUUCGAGAAAUUGAAGUUAAUACUGCAUACGUCCUUAGGGAGAAAGAUGGCCUCUUGCUGUCGCUAAAAGAUGAACCUGCGUCCUAUUAGCUUGUUGGUGGGGUAAAAGCCUACCAAGGCGAUGAUGGGUAGCCGGCCUGAGAGGGUGAUCGGCCACAUUGGAACUGAGAUACGGUCCAGACUCCUACGGGAGGCAGCAGUGAGGAAUAUUGCGCAAUGGGCGAAAGCCUGACGCAGCGACACCGCGUGAAGGAUGAAGGUUUUAGGAUCGUAAACUUCUGUUAAGUGGGAAGAAAGGUUCAUAAGUAAUAUAUAUGAAAGAUGACGGUACCACUAGAGAAAGCACCGGCUAACUUCGUGCCAGCAGCCGCGGUAAUACGAGGGGUGCAAGCGUUAUUCGGAAUUAUUGGGCGUAAAGGGUGCGUAGGCGGCAUUUCAAGUCCACUGUUAAAUUUCCCAGCCUAACUGGGAGUCGGCGGUAGAUACUGAUUUGCUAGAGGAUGGAAGAGAGAAGUGGAAUUCUUGGAGUAGCGGUAAAAUGCGUAGAUCUCAAGAGGAACACCGAUGGCGAAGGCAGCUUCUUGGUCCAUUCCUGACGCUAAGGCACGAAAGCGUGGGGAGCAAACAGGAUUAGAUACCCUAGUAGUCC
rnacentral:rRNA from 1 species